GCAUAACGCGAAGAACCUUACCCGGGCUUGAAAUGCAUCUGACAGGAGCAGAGACGCUCUCUCCCUUCGGGGCCGCCGUGUAGGUGCUGCAUGGUUGUCGUCAGCUCGUGCCGUGAGGUGUCGGCUUAAGUGCCAUAACGAGCGCAACCCUCAUCAUUAGUUACUAACAGGUCAUGCUGAGGACUCUAGUGAGACUGCCAUCGUAAGAUGCGAGGAAGGUGGGGAUGACGUCAAAUCAGCACGGCCCUUACGUCCGGGGCGACACACGUGUUACAAUGGGUGGUACAAAGGGCAGCUACCUGGCGACAGGAUGCUAAUCUCCAAAAACCACUCUCAGUUCGGAUCGGAGUCUGCAACUCGACUCCGUGAAGCUGGAUUCGCUAGUAAUCGCGCAUCAGCCACGGCGCGGUGAAUACGUUCCCGGGUCUUGUACACACCG
rnacentral:rRNA from 1 species